rnacentral:rRNA from 1 species
AGUGGCGAACGGGUGAGUAACACGUGGGCAACCUGCCCAAAAGAGGGGGAUAACACUUGGAAACAGGUGCUAAUACCGCAUAACCAUAGUUACCGCAUGGUAACUAUGUAAAAGGUGGCUAUACUACCGCUUUUGGAUGGGCCCGCGGCGCAUUAGCUAGUUGGUAGGGUAAAGGCUUACCAAGGCAAUGAUGCGUAGCCGAAUUGAGAGGUUGAUCGGCCACAUUGGGACUGAGACACGGCCCAAACUCCUACGGGAGGCAGCAG